rnacentral:misc_RNA from 1 species
ACGCAAUCACGAGUAAUUUCUCAGUACAGAAAGAAAAUUUGCAAACGGCGGAGACAAAAUUCGUAAACAAAAAGGGUUUUUAAUUCUUAAAAAGUGUAUUAAAAUAUUCAACUGAAAUAAAAUUAUGUGAGCCACGCACAAGUUAACGUUUGAUAUGUGCUAGAGUUUUCGUGUAAGAGUUUUUGACUGACAUCGACAACAGCUAAAAUCAAAAAUAGCUACUCAAACUUUUAGCGCAACACGGAUGCGAACACAGUAGCCUAGAAAAGUGGUGGCGGAGCGAGCGAGCGAGCGUGGCGGUGAACACUAUUUGUACAUGUAGUCGAAAAAGUUGCCAAUUGAGUAUUUAGGCAAAUUGGCGCUAGUUAUUUAGUUGACUGUACAUUGGUACGAAAGUGUCCUCAUCAAUAUUCUGGCAAAGCGUGGACUUUGACAAGGAUACAGCUUUAAAAGGAAUUGUUCUGCUCAGCGCAUUUGGGCGGAAAAUAAAUUUGAAAACAGCAGUAACGACAGCAAUUCAUCAAAUUAUCAAUUAUUAAAAAUGGCAGAGGAUGAAAUUUUGUUCGACGAUGUUUACGAAUUAUGCGAAGUCAUUGGAAAAGGCCCAUUUUCCAUUGUACGACGUUGCAUACACAGAGAAUCAAACCAACAGUUUGCUGUCAAAAUUGUCGAUGUGGCGAAGUUUACAGCGAGCCCUGGCCUGAGCACAGCUGACUUGAAGCGCGAAGCGACAAUAUGCCACAUGCUGAAACAUCCGCAUAUAGUCGAGUUGCUGGAGACGUACAGCUCAGAGGGCAUGCUGUACAUGGUGUUCGAAUUCAUGGAAGGUUCUGAUCUGUGCUUCGAAGUGGUGCGUCGUGCUGUGGCUGGCUUUGUAUACAGCGAAGCUGUGGCAUGUCAUUACAUGCGUCAAAUAUUGGAGGCGUUACGUUACUGCCAUGAAAACGACAUUUUGCAUAGAGAUGUGAGGCCGGCGUGUGCAUUACUCGCCACAGUGGACAAUUCAGCGCCGGUGAAAUUGGGCGGUUUUGGUUCGGCUAUACAACUGCCUGGUGGUAGGGAGACAAUCGAGACACAUGGCCGCGUCGGUUGUCCGCACUAUAUGGCGCCCGAGGUGGUGACGCGUCGCUUAUAUGGAAAAGGCUGUGAUGUUUGGGGUGCAGGUGUUAUGCUGCAUGUGCUGUUGUCUGGUCGUCUGCCGUUUCUCGGCUCGGGUAUAAGACUGCAAAAUUCCAUAGCGCGUGGACGUGUUUCGUUUGAAGCUCCCGAAUGGAAAUCAAUCUCCACAACGGCUAAGGAUUUGGUUAUGAAAAUGCUUUCGGCGAAUCCACAUCACAGACCGUCUAUAACGGAGGUGUUGGAACAUCCUUGGAUGCGGGAUCGCGAUAAGCUGCAGCGUCAACAUUUGGCGGACACAGUUGAGGAAUUGAAGCGUUACAAUGCGCGCCGCAAACUAAAAGGUGCUGUGCAAGCAAUUGCUGGUGGCACAACGUUAGAUCCACUAUUCGGCACAGACACCGACUCAAUGCCCGUGGCGUCUGCUUCGGAUAUGUUGAAUGAAUGGGCCGACGAGGAGGCGGGCAUUGAAGCCGUGCAACGCAUACUAGACUGCCUCGAUGACAUAUACGCGCUGCAGGAUUCCAAUGUCGAUCCUGAAGUUUUGCGUGAGAUGUUGCGCGAUGGACGAUUGCACCAAUUUUUACAGUUGUUUGAUCGCAUUACGUCGACAGUGGUGUCGCCGUCUCGUGCACCACCCGGUGAUGCUGUGGCACGAUGUAGAGACGUCAUAGAAUCAGUGUCAUCAGUUGGCGGCAAUAAGUACUUAAAGGAUGAGUUGAUGCAGGUUUUAGCAUCGCCACAUGUUCAGGCUUUGCUACACACUCACGAUGUUGUUGCCCGAGACGUUUACGGUGAGGAGGCACUGCGCGUCACACCGCCACCAAUGGUACCCUACAUUAAUGGCGACGAAAUCGAUAAUGUGGACAACGGCGAAUUGCAGCACGUAACCCGAGUGCGUUUAGUGCAAUUCCAGAAGAAUACCGAUGAACCAAUGGGCAUAACGUUAAAAAUGACCGAAGAUGGACGUUGUAUUGUGGCUAGAAUAAUGCAUGGUGGCAUGAUACACCGUCAGGCAACGCUGCAUGUUGGCGACGAGAUACGGGAAAUUAAUGGUCAGCCCGUUCAACAUCAAUCUGUGGGCCAAUUACAACGCAUGCUGCGUGAAGCGCGUGGUUCGGUUACCUUUAAAAUAGUUCCUUCUUAUAGAAGUGCUCCGCCACCCUGUGAGAUAUUUGUGCGUGCACAAUUCGAUUAUAAUCCUUUAGAUGAUGAGCUUAUACCAUGUGCUCAGGCAGGCAUCGCAUUCCAAGUCGGUGAUAUUUUACAGAUUAUAAGCAAAGACGACCAUCAUUGGUGGCAGGCCCGAUUAGACACGGUCGGUGGUUCGGCCGGUUUGAUACCGUCGCCGGAGCUGCAGGAGUGGCGUAUCGCAUGUAAUGUUGCGGAUAAGACCAAACAGGAACAAGUAAAUUGUUCGAUCUUCGGGCGUAAGAAGAAACAAUGUCGCGACAAAUACUUAGCUAAACACAAUGCCAUAUUUGACAACUUGGAUGUGGUGACAUAUGAAGAGGUUGUAAAAGUGCCAGUCGGUGAUCCAAACUUUCAACGGAAAACGUUGGUUUUGCUUGGUGCGCAUGGUGUGGGUCGCCGUCACAUUAAGAAUACACUAAUUUCCAAGUAUCCCGAUAAAUAUGCAUACCCCAUACCACAUACAACGAGACCUGCAAAACCGGAGGAGGAGAGUGGACGCAGCUAUUACUUUGUAUCGCACGACGAGAUGAUGGCCGACAUUGCUGCGAAUGAGUAUUUGGAGUAUGGUACUCAUGAGGACGCCAUGUACGGCACCAAACUGGACACCAUACGUCGCAUACACACCGAAGGCAAAAUGGCCAUAUUGGACGUUGAGCCACAGGCGUUGAAGAUUCUGCGCACUGCAGAAUUUACACCCUAUGUCGUGUUUAUUGCGGCGCCAUCAUUACAAAAUAUCGCCGAUUACGAUGGCAGUUUGGAGCGUUUGGCAAAAGAGUCCGAUAUGUUACGUCAAUUGUAUGGACACUUUUUCGAUUUGACGAUCGUAAACAACGAUAUAAGCGAGACAAUUGCCACGCUGGAAGCGGCCAUCGAGCGUGUACACACCACACCACAAUGGGUGCCAGUUUCAUGGUUGUACUGACAAGACAGUGAGCUUGAGUGUCCCGACUGCUUAGAGGGCUGUGACUGUGAAUGGGAAGCAUACGCAGCCGGUGCCCAACAACCAAAUACGGGCCUCUUCUGAACUAUUACAACAAACAAUAGCAAAUCUAAUAAAAAAGCACCGUUAAAGAACAUCACUUGGGGAAAUCAACUUACAUAGUAUAUACACACGCGUAUACCGAGGAAUGAUUAUUAAAUAAGAAUUAAGAACUUCUUGAAAUGAACUAUUUGAAAUUAAGUGAAAGAGAACUUGCAAAAUAUACUGCAUAUAAUUAAUAAUUACAAUUUUACGAGCGGGUACACAACACAAUAAACUAAAAGUAUUAUUGAAAAGUAUUCAACCAAUGCAAUUAAGAGUGUUUCAAAAGUAAGAGUCACAAAAAGCAAAUUAAGUAAAUUUUAAAUGAAAAUCAUGCAAUUGUAAACAAUGAAAGUAAAACACAAAGUAAACAAGUAAAAAGAGUUAUAAACAAACAACAACAACCAAAUAAUAUUUGCACUUUUUAACAAAAUAAUACAAAAUGCAUAAUAAACAAAAUAAACGUUGCAGAGAACAAGUUUACGAGCAAGCAAGUUUGCUGAGCGUUAACUCUGCAGCACAAGUCAGUUUAAUGCAACGUGAAGAGCAGUGAAGUAAGCACAAAAACAAAAACAAAAAACGAUACAAGUAAAGCAUUCAUACACACAUCUACACAUAUAAGAAUUAAAUGAAAUAAAAAAGCACAUGGAAAAACGUUAAUAAAAUAAAAAAAAGCGGUAAAGAAGAGAAUCAUAGUAAUAAUUUUAGUAAAGUUACUGUCAACCAAAUACUAAAACAAAACAAAAGGAAAAUAAAAAUAUAAAUGAAAAACAGUAAAUUGUAAACCAAUUAAAAAAUAUUCGAAACGCGGACACACAGGUAUGCAAUGAAAAGAUAAUCGUACAAGUAUAUUACGUACAUACAUGCAUUAAAUAUUUGAGAACCGUUACAUGGAAUCGUUAAGAACGUUAAGCGAAAUGGUAAUAAUUUGAUUACAAAUAACUCAGGUUGAAUUAUUUCAAAAUGUGAAAGCAGACAACUGUAAAUGUAUUGAAUUUUUUCCAAUAAACUAACUAAGAGAACCUAACACAAAGCCCCACCAGCAGCACGUAAACCCUUCUAUUAAGGCAACACAAAUGAAGAUCAUCACAGCAUCACGUCACUGCAUAUAAGUGUUAACCUUUACACGCUUAUACGCGACAUAGACACACAUUUAACGCUGCAGGCUGUCAUAGCGAAACCACUAGCAUACAAUUUCUUUAUUGGAUUGCAAAAAUAUGCACACUCAUACACACAUAUGUACUUGCCGUUUCAAUAUUUAACCACAUUCGUGUCAUGAAUAGUAUGGAAAGAAAACUAACAACAACAUUUGCCAAAAAGCAUUUUCAUACAUACAUACAUACAUGCAACUAUUUCACCAGUGACUUUUCAUUUCACCCAGAAAAGAUGUUCACCAAUCAAUCACAAACGUGAGUAGACACACAUCAUACCUACACACAAACAUGCAUACAUACUAAACCAACAGACAAAUAUAUUUACCGUAUUUCUGAGCUUAUUUUGUAGUUUUUGAGAGAACUAAUAAACUUUUGUAAGUAUCUUUAAGAUUCUAUGGUUUCAAAGGGUUGAUGAUUGUAAUCGAAUAUUUCAGCAAAUUUAAAGAGAGAUAAUUAAACAAAAACGCGAACGCAGCUAUACUACUCAUGCUAUGAAAAUGUGGGGGGGGAAAUGUGAAAAAGUUCCCCCCCACACAAUGAAUAGUAACUGUACUUCACACUACUAUGCAUUAAAUUAAUUGUUAAUUUCAAAAGUUAUACACACUUUCUAACUAAGAGACAUAAGAGAACAAACAUGUGCUGCGUGCAUGUUGGUUAAACACUAAAACAAAAACAAAAAUAAAUGAUAAACAAAUAAGUCAUAUAAAAUAGGCGGUAUAAAAUUGACUAAGAAGUGGUUGAGACCAUUUGAAAACUGUUGCCAAACUAAACUUAAAUCGCUCAAUUUACGUUUUACUAAAAUGAAACUAGAUUACAAUUAGAUUUAAAUAGACUACUAUAUAGACUAGGAAGAUGCCUGGUUAAGGAGCUAGUUGGAAGUCCAAGUCCCACAUCCUGCCACAACAUUAUUGUACAUUCCCUCAUCGAAAGCAAACACAGCGCAACUUCUCAUCUCUCAUAUGUAUGUUUAACAGUUGUUUUCCUCCCUGUGACCACCCUCCUGCCUUAGUUCCGCACCACCUCGCCCAUUUUACUGCAAUGUUUUUUUUAUAGUGAAAAUAUACAGCUGCUUAGAUGCUUACUUAAACAGGGCGUGGUAGUAAUUAUGAUUAGAUAUGAAUUACAUAAUACGAGUAAGGGGAAAUUUACUCAAUAACGGUACUUAAAUUAGCAAUUCAAAGUAGGUUUUCAUUACAAAAAACGCUAACAUACAAACAUGCAUACUUAUAAAUUAUCACUAACGUACACACUACUAGCGACAUUGACAAAAUUAAUAAACAUUUAAUACAUUUAAAGAAAAUCACUGCUUUGAGAAUCAAAAUUACACAUACAUACAUACGCGUAGAAUAAAUUUGACGAAAAACGAGAAGCCGAGCAGCCGAAAGCGAACGUACUUUGCUCUACAGCGCCAGAGAGCCUAACACACACUUUUGUCCCUUUGAGUGAAAGUCAUGUUUAUUAAAAAUCGGGAUGCAUAAAUGAAUAUAAGUAUAUAUUUACUUGUACGAGUAACGGCGGCAAGAUCUUGAAGCAGCGCUUGCUUGCAUGUCAUUAUUAGAAUUUAUUUUCGAAACACUUUAGAAUAAAUAAAUUUAACAUUGUUUCAAUGAAAUGAAUUGAAAUUUUAAGAAAUCAUAAGUUGUAUUGGGUACCUUAGCUGUACGGGAGAGUAAUUUAAUUCUGGCUAUUCGUAGAAAAUGGCUUAAAUAUUAAUUUAAUUGUUGAAAGUUUUUUAUUAGAAUUAUCUAUACACACAUAUUUUCUUUAAAUGCAACUCAUCAAAGAAACAAAAAAAAAGCGUCAAUCAUUGCAACAACACUAAAAAUCGAGUUUGAGAUAUGUACAUACAUACAUACAUGUAUACAUGCAUAUGUAGCACACAUACAUAUGUGUAUGUGUUCAACAGUAAUAUAAAGCCGUUAAAAGUAAUACUAAAAUAAUGAAAAAACAGUUGUUAUUUAAGCAGAAUUAAAGUUAAAGAAAAUAAAUUAAAAAAAUUAAAAAAAAAA